CAAUAGCGUAUAUUAAAGUUGUUGCAGUUAAAAAGCUCGUAGUUGGAUUUGUGGUGUACUUCGGCGGCCCGUCACUAUGUGAUGGAGCUUGCUGAAGUCGCCAUCCUUGGGUGGAUCCUGUGUGGCAUUAAGUUGUCGUGCAGGGGAUGCCCAUCGUUUACUGUGAAAAAAUUAGAGUGUUCAAAGCAGGCUUAUGCCGUUGAAUAUGUUAGCAUGGAAUAAUAAGAUAGGACCUUGGUACUAUUUUGUUGGUUUGCGCACCAAGGUAAUGAUUAAUAGGGACAGUUGGGGGUAUUCGUAUUUCAUUGUCAGAGGUGAAAUUCUUGGAUUUUUGAAAGACGAACUACUGCGAAAGCAUUUACCAAGGAUGUUUUCAUUAA
rnacentral:rRNA from 1 species